AUUGAACGCUGGCGGCAUGCUUUACACAUGCAAGUCGAACGGUAACAGGCCUUCGGGUGCUGACGAGUGGCGAACGGGUGAGUAAUGCAUCGGAACGUACCCAGAGGUGGGGGAUAACGCAGCGAAAGCUGUGCUAAUACCGCAUGUGAUCUGAGGAUGAAAGCGGGGGACCGAGCAGCAAUGUUUGGCCUCGCGCCUUUGGAGCGGCCGAUGUCGGAUUAGCUAGUUGGUGGGGUAAAGGCCUACCAAGGCGACGAUCCGUAGCUGGACUGAGAGGACGACCAGCCACACUGGGACUGAGACACGGCCCAGACUCCUACGGGAGGCAGCAGUGGGGAAUUUUGGACAAUGGGCGCAAGCCUGAUCCAGCAAUGCCGCGUGCGGGAAGAAGGCCUUCGGGUUGUAAACCGCUUUUGGCAGGAACGAAACGGUGUCCGCUAAUACCGGGCGCUAAUGACGGUACCUGCAGAAUAAGCACCGGCUAACUACGUG
rnacentral:rRNA from 1 species